rnacentral:rRNA from 1 species
AACGAACGCUGGCGGCAUGCCUAACACAUGCAAGUCGAACGAGACCUUCGGGUCUAGUGGCGCACGGGUGCGUAACGCGUGGGAAUCUGCCCUUGGGUUCGGAAUAACAGUUGGAAACGACUGCUAAUACCGGAUGAUGACGUAAGUCCAAAGAUUUAUCGCCCAGGGAUGAGCACGCGUAGGAUUAGCUAGUUGGUGGGGUAAAGGCCUACCAAGGCGACGAUCCUUAGCUGGUCUGAGAGGAUGAUCAGCCACACUGGGACUGAGACACGGCCCAGACUCCUACGGGAGGCAGCAGUGGGGAAUAUUGGACAAUGGGCGAAAGCCUGAUCCAGCAAUGCCGCGUGAGUGAUGAAGGCCUUAGGGUUGUAAAGCUCUUUUACCCGGGAUGAUAAUGACAGUACCGGGAGAAUAAGCCCCGGCUAACUCCGUG